AACGUAGGUUCCGAGCGUUAUCCGGAUUUACUGGGCGUAAAGCGCGUUCAGGCGGUUUGGCAAGUCGGGCCUGAAAUCUCUCGGCUCAACCGGGAGAGGUUGUCCGAUACUGUUAGACUGGAGGGCAGUAGAGGGUGGUGGAAUUCCGGGUGUAGUGGUGAAAUGCGUAGAGAUCCGGAGGAACACCAGUGGCGAAAGCGGCCACCUGGACUGCACCUGACGCUGAAACGCGAAAGCUAGGGGAGCGAACGGG
rnacentral:rRNA from 1 species